CCUACGGGGGGCUGCAGUGGGGAAUAUUGGACAAUGGGGGCAACCCUGAUCCAGCCAUGCCGCGUGUGUGAAGAAGGCCCUCGGGUUGUAAAGCACUUUCAGUGAGGAAGAACGCCUGGUGGUUAAUACCCAUCAGGAAAGACAUCACUCACAGAAGAAGCACCGGCUAACUCCGUGCCAGCAGCCGCGGUAAUACGGAGGGUGCGAGCGUGAAUCGGAAUUACUGGGCGUAAAGCGCGCGUAGGUGGCUUGAUAAGCCGGUUGUGAAAGCCCCGGGCUCAACCUGGGAACGGCAUCCGGAACUGUCAAGCUAGAGUGCAGGAGAGGAAGGUAGAAUUCCCGGUGUAGCGGUGAAAUGCGUAGAGAUCGGGAGGAAUACCAGUGGCGAAGGCGGCCUUCUGGACUGACACUGACACUGAGGUGCGAAAGCGUGGGUAGCAAACAGGAUUAGAUACCCCUGUAGUC
rnacentral:rRNA from 1 species